AAAGUUUCGAUCGGAUAAGAGCAACGAAAUAAGUUUAACACUUCGUAUCUCGUUGCUUGAGCGAGAUCAAUUACAUGGGUCGUUCCUUUUCUUCAGGUCCGAUCGGUGUAUGUAUCUGCUUCUUGCUAACGCUGUGCGUCCCUCGUCUUCGAUCGAACUUCAAGUCAAACUCGUUCUCGACAACAGAGUAACAUGAAGAUGCGAGCCGGUGCUUCUACGAUACGUUUGUAUUAAAAACAAAAACAAAAAGAAUAUGAAGAAGAGGAAGAAGAAUAAAAUGAUCCACCAAGAAGACGAUGAGCAUGAUAAUUAAAAAUUUUAGAAACUUUCUGGAGGAUAAAAUUGAAAGAUCAAAACUCUCAUUUUAAUUAUCAAAUUCUAUUGCAAAACAUCAGAAGAAUGAAACGAGGAUAGAUGAAAGAUUACAAAAUGUAUAAGAAAAAAUCACCAAAAGAACUUUACAUAAUGACUAAUUCCCAUGCGAAGGCGAGCAUUGUUACUUCCAGAAUAGUGUUACCUUUGUCGAGUCAUCUUUAACACGAAAGACAUCUAAACGAUAUUAUUUUAUCCACGAUAUUGUUUGUUACGUUGUGUCAAAUAUAUAGAGACAGGCAGGUAGACAAACAGACGGACAGACAGAUAGAGAUAAAAAAGUUGGCACACAGUUGUUAAAUUUACUUUGGCUUCAUUGGUGUGCAGUAACCCAGGUUACAAGACAAUAAUCAAUGAAGUUGUAAACGCGGUGUCUACCCUCUUAUCUAUUCAAAGAUAACAGGACUUGGAGAAAAUGAAGAAAAAAAAAGAAAGAUAGAGAUAAUAAAGAGAAGGAUGUUGAGGGGAACAGAGAGACAGAUAGAAAGACAGACAGACAGGCAGGCAGACCAUUUUAAAUUCUGAUUUCCAUAAAUAAAAACAUUUCCCUCGCGGAAUUUCAAGCCGUGAGAUUUACUUAACUAUGUAAUGGAUAUGGUAAAGAGGGGUUCGAGUGAAGAAAACGAUCGGGAGAUUUCAAUUCAUUUGCCUAGCACGUCGUUGCAUUUUCUUUCCAUAAUUCACGAUCAUAUAGAAAUCUUCCCCAUUACAAUCGCCCACGUUAUAUACUCUCACACCAUCGGAUUCGCCGAUUAUUUUAUAAACUCUUAGAGAGCGUUCCAGAGUUCCUCCUUGGAAGCUUAGUAUAAAAAAGUCGAAAUAGUCCUAAUGUAUAAAAAGUUUUCUUGCUGGUAAAUUAUAUCAAGGCUCGUAGAAGGAAUCACCAGUUGAAAUGAAAGAAAUGCAAGGAAGAGGAAAAACUUAACUACGCGAACUUACGUUCACAUUUGCAGUCAUUACGAAUGAUCCUUUACGUCCGCACAACGUGCUGAAGGUAACCAUAAGAAUCUAUAAAUGAGUCAAUGGAAUCCAUCAAUCAAAAUCAAGACAUGUUCUUAAAAGUCAACAAGGCAUUGUCAUUAUACGUAGCAAAGUGUGAAAAGGAACGAAAAGAAAGAAACUUUAAUGAAAAAACAAACAUUAAUAUUAAAAAUUUUGAAGAAAGAUUAAAAGAAAGUCUGACUAAAUCAUCACAGGGAUCUGAAGAUAAAACUUAGUUAAAUUACUAUACGUAUACCCGAACAAAUAUGUUCUACGAUGAAGUAUGUUGCAGUAUUUUUAUAGUGUACAUUUUUAAUUUUAAGAUAUAGGUUAUUCUUUCAACUAUAGAUUAAUUUCAAAUCAUAUUUAUUUUUGUAUAUAUGUAUAAUUCAAAUAUUUAUUUAUAUUUAAAAUAUAUUUUAUAUAAAUCUAGAUAAAAAGAACAAAAGAGACAUGAGUAAGAUUUAUACAACAGUAUCUACAUUUGUAACUAUAUCACAAAGUUCUAUGAUAUGUCAAAAUGCAGCGUAUCGAGCCAAAUAACAAUAGUUAAAUAGAUAAUACUUAAUGUUUAUUUAAAUACUAAUUGUAAAAUUGUAUAGCUUAACAUAUUCACUACCAGUGCCACAUAUCUGUGACACACCGCUUACCAUUGAAAACCUAGUGUCAUAUUUAUGACUG
rnacentral:misc_RNA from 1 species